CGAUCCUGGGACUCCAGGAUCGCGCCCUGGACCAAAGGCAGGUGCUAAACCACUGAGCCACCCAGGGAUCCCCUCACUACUUCUUAUAUUACAAUUUUUUUGAAGUUGUCAAGGCAGCACCUUUGCCCUCAGCUAUCUCGGCCCAACAGGCUAAAUGAUAUGCUCUUGCUUAGACCUACAUUUUAGCCAAGGGCAAAACUGCAGAUAUCUAUACUGAUAGCAGGUAGGCCUUUGGAGUAGCUAACGACUUCGGAAUGCUAUAGAAACAGUGAGGCUUCCUUACUUCUAGUGGGGACAAAAUUAAAAAUGGCCUUUAUGUUCAGGAAUUAUUAGAUGCCAUACUCUUGGCAGGUGCUUUGGCCAUUAUCAAGGUCCCUAUGCAUUCCAAACUGGAUUCUUUGGAAACCAGAGAAAACCACCUUGUUGAUAUUUCCACAAUAGAUGCUGCUCUCAAAGGAACCAACAAACAAAUCUCUGUCAUGGUCCAACGGUAUGUUCCCCUUUUCAAAUGAUAAUCUAGAAAAAUUGACUAGAGAUGCCCAACAAUCAGCCCCAGGAAAGGAAAAACAAUAUUGGAAACCUAAUGACUGUAGGUUCGAUUGAAAAAAGAAAACUCUAGGUUGGGCCAAAUAAUAAUCCAGUGCUGCCAGAGACUCUAAAGUUCCCAUUACUGACUAGGGUAUAUGUAUCCAGUCAUUGGUCUGCUGAGAAAAAUGAAAACCUUUUGAGCCAAUACUAGUGAGUAAAUAUUUACAAGACCAUGGAGUGACUGCUUUGCUUGCCCCACCUGCCUGAAAUAUAAUUCAAGGAAACUUGUCUACACCGCUCCUGGACACUUUAAGUUGCCCGAUGGACCAAAGUUUGGCAGAAGUGUUUUAUUCAACUUCCCUCAUCUCAUGCCUAUAAAUAUGUCUUUGUAAUGAUUUGUAUGUUUUAUCAAUGGACUAUUUUUGUGGCUAAAAUCCUACUAGAAAAGAUCAUCCCUACCAGGGUAAUCCCCUUUCAAACUUCAUAGUGACCAGGGGACUUGCUUCAGGUUUGUGCUGUUAGGCCAUUGUUACAAAACUUCCACUGUGCUUACUACCCUUUAUCCUCAGGGCGAGUCGAACAUACUAAUGGUACCAUUAAGCAAAAUUUGUAGAGAUCCUUCAAAUACUCUGGCAAAAAGCCCUGCUGUUAGUUUUCCUACUUAUUAGGUCUACCUCUUUGGAACCUAUAAACUCUCACCCUUUGAGAUAAUCACAAGAUGGCCAGUGUAGUUGGCUCCUGCUUCUUCUGAUCCACAAAUGGUAAAGGGGGAUAUACUUCAAUAUUGCAAAGACCUAAUUGCUUCUGUUGAGAAUAACCAUGCUUUAGUAGAACAAUCUUUCCACAGUGCAUUCCCCGGAGACAAAGACUUCAAAUAUCACAGUCCAGAGAUUUCAUCUAUUGGAAAAGAUAUCUCCAGAAAGACCCUCUUCAACCCUGUUGGAAAGGCCCCUAUCAGAUUUAACUUCUUAAAUCAUCUCUCCAUCCAAUGUGGAGCUUGAACUCAUAACACCGAGAUCAAGAGUCGCAUGCUCCUCCAUCUGAGCCAUCCAGGCAUCCCCCCACCCCCAUGUGUCACACCUUAAGGAAGCACAAAACCCUGAUUAGAUCUGCACACCAACUGCAUACCUGGAAUUAAAGAUUUCCAGGAAUUGAAGCAAACGACAGCCAAAGGAGACAGCUUUCUCAAGAUGACUGGACCAGACCUGUAUACCUUUUUCUUGCUGUUGGUUCUUAAACCAUAUUUAUCCCCUUUCUUUCAUGGUCUAAUCUAUUGCAAAAGCAGAACCUUUCUGACUAUUGGAUCUGACACCAGAAAUUUUGAUUCGUUCUUCCCUAUUUAUUAUUUGUUCCCCUGCACCCAAGGGAAAUACAAACGAGCUAACUCCUCUUUGCAAGGCUUUUUAGAAAGAGUUUUAUUUAUUUGAGAGAGAGUGUGUGACAGAAAGCAAGAGAAAGCAAGCAAGCAGAGAGAGGCAGAGGGGGAGAGAAAGAGUCUGAAGCAGACUCCAUACUGAGGGUGGGGCCUGACUUGGGGCUCGAUCCCACAACUGCAAGAUCAUGACCUGAGCUGAAACCAAGAGACUGAUGCUCAACUGACUGAGCCACUUAGGUGCCCCUGCAAGGCUUUUAGAAAAGACCACUUUAGGUGGGAUGGUUCCUUCCAGAAGUUCUCCUCAUCUUAUUCUAUAUAAUUAUUUUUUAAAAGAUCUUAUUUUUAAAUAAUCUGUGCACCUGAUGUGUGGUUCAGACUUAUAACUCUGAGAUCAAGGGUUGUAAACUCUACUGACUGAGCCAGCUAGGCAUCCCCUCUGUAUGAUCAUUUUUUUAAGUAGGCUCCAUGCCCAGCAUAAAGUCCAGUGUGGGGCUUGAAUGCAUGACCCUGAGAUCAAGAUCUGAGCUGAGAUCAAGAAUUGGACGCUUAACCAGCUGAGCCACCCAGGCUCACCUGUAUAAUCAUUUUUAAGCUUUAUACCUGUUGCCUCUCAAACCUUUCUAGAAACUAUGUGCCCAAAUAGGAUGAUGCAAGCUUAGCACUUCAAGAUGAUCUUCAACAUUUAUCUCAGAUGGGAAGUGCCUGAUAGUUCUCCCUCCUACCCUUCCCCAUACUCAUAUGUGACCUCAGGGGUUUCCAAUCUAUGUACUUUCCCUGAUAUGGGACAUGACAACCAGGAAGAGUCCUUUCUGACACCAAGGGGACAAAUCCACUAAAUAUGAAAAAAAAGCCAGCACAACCCUGACUUUUGAUUAGGAAUCCUUUUUGAAGAAAGACCUUGAUCGAAAGGGAGAAAUGCGAAAAUAAAGGAAACCUCAUUUAAGAUGGAGUCAGGAAGCCCUGAAGGGGGAGCUCUCAUGUAUUACUACUUGCUGUAAGAAGCCUCUCCCAUUUCCCAGCAGGAAGCAGCUUACUUUAUGUACCCCAGCCAGAGGAAGGAAGAAUUUCUUGCCCAGCAACAGCCCAGCCAGUAAGAACUCAGUGAAACAGCCCCUCCCAACUUCCUCUUUUCCCCUGUAAAUUAAGCCCCUCUCCUGUUUUCUGGGUUUGCCUUAGUUUGCUUGUCUUGAAUUAUCAUUCUUCUGCUAUUUCUGAAUAAACUCAUUUUGCUGGUAAAAUAA